rnacentral:rRNA from 1 species
UACGAGGGGGGCAAGCGUUGUUCGGAAUUAUUGGGCGUAAAGGGCGCGUAGGCGGUGCGGUAAGUCACCCGUGAAACCUCUAGGCUCAACCUAGAGCCUGCAGGCGAAACUGCCGUGCUUGAGGGUGGGAGAGGUGCGUGGAAUUCCCGGUGUAGCGGUGAAAUGCGCAGAUAUCGGGAAGAACACCCGUGGCUAAGGCGGCUCUCUAGUACGGUACUGACGCUGAGACGCGAAAGCGUGGGGAGCGAACAGG